UGCAGGAUCCCGCGAACCAUCGAGUUUUUGAACGCAAGUUGCGCCCAAAGCCUUUUGGCCGAGGGCACGUCUGCCUGGGUGUCA
rnacentral:rRNA from 1 species